rnacentral:rRNA from 1 species
UACGUAAGGCGCAAGCGUUAUCCGGAAUCAUUGGGCGUAAAGCGCGUGUAGGCGGCCCGGUAAGUCCGCUGUGAAAGUCGGGGGCUCAACCCUCGAAUGCCGGUGGAUACUGUCGGGCUAGAGUGCGGAAGAGGCGAGUGGGAAUUCCUAGUGUAGGCGGUGAAAUGCGUAGAUAUUAGGAGGAACACCAGUUGCGAAGGCGGACUCUCUGGACUGGUAACUGACACUGAGGCACGAAAGCGUGGGGAGCAAACAGG